ensembl:lncRNA
CAGCCAUUCGCAUUGCAAACGUUUAACACCAGCUUGUCUACGCUGACCUGGUGACCUGUACUAGUCUCUGAUGAGGCCGGUGUGAGACUUCAAACUGGACUCAAUGUCCUACGACGUAAAGCGCAGGCUCCUCCGCUCAUCAGGUUGUGGGCUGCCGGCUACUCCUUCGCUGACCUGCUCAUUAUUCUGUGGCCUUAACUUGGCUCCGGUUGAGAUGCGGCCGGUAGUUAGCCGCCGGCUGGGGACACACCACGCAAAGCUCACGUUAGCGCAUCACCAAUGGCCGGUUUCCUGUCGGCCUUUGCAGCAAUAUUAUGCAGCGUACCUCUAAUGAGCCGAUGCACCACUCACGAUACCUGCACUUUUAUCCAAAUUGCCGUUCAUCCAUGUGGCCAUUGGAGGAGAUUCAUUUGUCAAACGAUGGAUGUCGUUGUCAUAAUGUCACCAAAAGGGGAUCGGUCGAGGCUCAGCGGAUCAGAUUGCAGAGAGCGAACGCUACCUGUUGAUCACAUCAGAAGAAUUGACACCUCGUCUUUCCACGAAGCCCACACUGCCACCAACUGCACCGACUGAAUAGAUAUUUUCUCAUAAAAGGGAUAUUGCAAUAUAUAUACGGAAGUGUCCACUGUUGAGGGAAAUAUCAGGAUGUCAAAGUGAUCCAGCAGCUACAAACAGCGCACGGAUGGAAACAACAGCGUCUCCAGAGCACAGCAUCUUUGUG